GUGUCAGCCGCCGCGGUAAUACCGGCAGCGGGAGUGAUGGCCGAUAAAAUUGGGCCUAAAGCGUCCGUAGCUGGCCGCACAAGUCCAUCGGAAAAUCCAGGCGCCCAACGGGCGGGCGCCCGGUAGAAACUGCGUGGCUUGGGACCGGAAGGCGCGACGGGUACGUCCGGGGUAGGAGCGAAAUCCCGUAAUCCUGGACGGACCGCCGAUGGCGAAAGCACGUCGCGAGGACGGAUCCGACAGUGAGGGACGAAAGCCAGGGUCUCGAACCGGAUUAGAAACCCGAGUAGUCC
rnacentral:rRNA from 1 species